rnacentral:ncRNA from 2 species
GUAUUAUAAAAAGCGCCUGGACCUGAUAUAGAUAUCAGGUUGACGAGGACAGGGUUUAUCGAGCAUUCGGCGGGUGCCCUGCGGUUUGACCACGGCCGUUAGAGACCUGACAAAACCGCAAGUAAUUGCGGCCUAAACCAGGUCGAGUGGUGAUA